rnacentral:tRNA from 1 species
CCAAAAUGUAGCUUAACCUAUAAAGCAUUCGGCCUACACCCGAAAGAUUUCACACAAAUAUGAACAUUUUGA